rnacentral:lncRNA from 12 species
UUCAUCAUCAUUGUUAUCAUCAUCUUCAUCUUCAUCAUCAUCGUCUUCAUCAUCGUCAUCUGACCUUGAUCAUCGUCAUCAUCGUCUUCGUCAUCAUCGUCAUCGUCGUCAUCGUCUUCAUCAACCACCGGAAGGAGAAGUUCCACUGCGGCUUCGGCCUCACCAUCGGAUAGACCUUCAUCAUCAUCAUCAUCGUCAUCAUCAUCGUCAUCAUCGUCAUCAACCACCGGAAGGAGAAGUUCCACUGCGGCUUCGGCCUCACCAUUGGAUAACCUUCAUCAUCAUCAUCGUCAUCAUCAUCAUCAUCGUCAUCGUCAUCAUCGUCUUCAUCAACCACCGGAAGGAGAAGUUCCACUGCGGCUUUGGCCUCACCAUUGGAUAACCUUCAUCGUCGUCAUCGUCAUCAUCUUCAUCAUCGUUAUCAUCAUCGUCAUCUUCAUCAUCUUCAUCAUCAUCAUCAUCGUCAUCGUCUUCAUCAACCACCACAAGGAGAAGUUCCACUGCGACUUCGGCCUCACCAUCGGAUAAUCAUCAUCUUCAUCGUCAUCUUCAACUGACCUUCAUCAUCAUCAUCAUCGUCAACAUCGUCAUCAUCAUCGUCACCUUCAUCAUCGUCAUCGUCAUCUUCAUCAACUGACCUUCAUCAUCAUCGUCAUCGUCAUUGUUAUCAUCAUCUUCAUCGUCAUCUUCAACUGACCUUCUUCAUCAUCAUCAUCAUCAGCUGAUCUUCAUCAUCAU